GACGUAGGAGGCGAGCGUUGUCCGGAUUCAUUGGGCGUAAAGAGCGCGCAGGCGGCUUGGUAAGUCGGAUGUGAAAUCCCGAGGCUCAACCUCGGGUCUGCAUCCGAUACUGCCCGGCUAGAGGUAGGUAGGGGAGAUCGGAAUUCCUGGUGUAGCGGUGAAAUGCGCAGAUAUCAGGAGGAACACCGGUGGCGAAGGCGGGUCUCUGGGCCGAUAUUGACGCUGGAGGAGCGAAAGCGUGGGGAGCGAACAGG
rnacentral:rRNA from 1 species